rnacentral:rRNA from 1 species
CUUUAAAGAAAGCGUAAUAGCUCACUAGUCGAGUCGGCCUGCGCGGAAGAUGUAACGGGGCUCAAACCAUGCACCGAAGCUACGGGUAUCAUCGUAUGAUGAUGCGGUAGAGGAGCGUUCUGUAAGCCUGUGAAGGUGAGUUGAGAAGCUUGCUGGAGGUAUCAGAAGUGCGAAUGCUGACAUGAGUAACGACAAUGCGAGUGAAAAACUCGCACGCCGAAAGACCAAGGUUUCCUGCGCAACGUUAAUCGACGCAGGGUUAGUCGGUCCCUAAGGCGAGGCUGAAAAGCGUAGUCGAUGGAAAACAGGUUAAUAUUCCUGUACUUCCAGUUAUUGCGAUGGAGGGACGGAGAAGGUUAGGCCAGCCUGGCGUUGGUUGUCCAGGUUUAAGGUGGUAGGCUGAAAUCUUAGGCAAAUCCGGGAUUUCAAGGCCGAGAGCUGAUGACGAGUUGCCUUUAGGCGACGAAGUGGUUGAUACCAUGCUUCCAAGAAAAGCUCCUAAGCUUCAGAUAACUGGGAACCGUACCCCAAACCGACACAGGUGGUUAGGUAGAG